AGGUAAAGGAAUGCUGGUUUAUACUUUUCAGAGUUAAGAAAAUUUGCUUGAAUCUGCUGUAAAGGAUAAUGAAUCAACCUUGUUUAAGAUUGCAUUUCAACAACGAGUGCCUUUUCCUGGACACAGAAAAUGAAACUAUUCUUCUGUUACGAGUAUACAAGGUGCACCAAAUUCUUUUAAGGCAAACCAUUACAAGAGAAAUACAGUCUGAGUAUGAAAAGAAACCUGUGAUCAACUCCAUAUUGAAGAAACUGUUCAAAAGGCUUCAUCAGCUUGAGCCCUGCUGCCUACUUGGAGAGAGCAACAUAAAUAAUAUGGAGUAAUUUUUUCUCCAGGACACCAGCCAUUGUGCUCAAGCAAGACAGUUCUGAUUUGGGUGGUUUGUUGCAUUUGAAACUUGAAAAACCAAGUAAUGCAAGCCUUGGAUAACAAUAUGAAGACAUAAGGAGGAAAUUGGAUAAACAGAAACUGAAACUGCAUUUCUUAUGGUGCUCCAGCUUGAACAAAUCAAAGAGUACUAGAUGCCUCAGGUUCACAAGAAACACUGAAAACAAUUUUUCAUUCAAUGACAGGGAUUUGUCACCAUUAAAGUC